rnacentral:rRNA from 1 species
UACGUAGGGUGCAAGCGUUGUCCGGAAUUAUUGGGCGUAAAGAGCUCGUAGGCGGUCUGGCGCGUCGGCUGUGAAAACCCGGGGCUCAACUCCGGGCCUGCAGUCGAUACGGGCUGGCUUGAGUGCGGAAGGGGAGAGUGGAAUUCCUGGUGUAGCGGUGAAAUGCGCAGAUAUCAGGAGGAACACCGGUGGCGAAGGCGGGUCUCUGGGCCGUAACUGACGCUGAGGAGCGAAAGCGUGGGGAGCGAACAGG